CCCAAUGAAGUGAAAUCUAACAGCAUCAAUAUGCAUGGCAAAAUCGUGAUAAAUCAGAUUCUUUGCAAAAUGUACACCACUAUUAUAGUCAUACAAAGACUAACAAAACCCAUUAUCCAUUUGUCAACCAAAAAUCACUGAUUACUAUGCAACUAAUCUCCAGAAUCUAGCAGCUUGCAUUGUUGCUUUCCAAAAUCCACCUAACAACUACCAGCUAUAAAAUAUGAUAAAAAUCACCCUACAAGUAAAUAGAAA
rnacentral:lncRNA from 1 species